UAAUCGUGGUAGAGUUGGAGGACAGCGUCUCGUUCUCAUAGAUGAUCUCAGCGGAGACGGAGACGGACGAGGAGCCCAAGAUGGCGACCGACACCGAGGAGGGAAGACCGGGCCGGAGAGCCGCGGGGACCAGCAGCAGGUGACGUCAGUUUACCUGUCAGCGGGGAUGAGGAGGAGGAAGAAUCCGCACAGCCACGGCAGAGCCUUCAUCAUGGCGGAAGUUCGUCUGUUAGCCGCUGAGCUCAGCAGCGGCUUCACACCUGAGCCAUGGCCACGCCCCCCGCACCUGAGCAGUUCAGGUCUGAGGAGUUUUAACCCUUUAGCUUCUGGCCUGCUGGACCUCCAACCCGUCCAGAACCCAGCAGGUUCUGGUUCUGGUUCUGGAUGAUUUUCAUACUUACCUGAUUUUUUUCUAGUUUUGAGCAGAACUUUGAUGAACUUUAAAUGUACAAUAGAAUCAACUUUGACUUUUGCAUUUAUUUAUUGGUUGUUUUUUAUGUUUAUCUGUAAGUUUGUUAUUUUGUUUGUACUUUUUGUAUUUAUUUAUUCUUCUAUUCAUUUAGUUACUUUUAUCCUGUUGCUAAACUGACUCAACUUUGUGGCUGAAGCUCCAGCAGAACCAGAACCAGAACCAGAACAGCCUGACUGAGUCUGAUGGUUUGGUAACCUUUCGCCAUAUUUCAUCAUUUACAGUAGAUUUAUUAUCAGCAGUGAUCACAGUAACAGUUGGCAACCCAACAUGUUCAAAGAGCCAUUUUGGACCAAAAAACCCCAAAUCUGUCUGGACGUGACUCUGUUGUACGAUGGAGCUUUAAGUUUACCUUCAGUUACAAUAUUAAUGUUUUAUGUUUCGUUACAUAAAAUUAAAGAAAUAAAGGAAUCAGA